rnacentral:piRNA from 1 species
UGAUGGUGUCAUCAAGGUGUUCAACGA